CCUACGGGAGGCAGCAGUGAGGAAUAUUGGUCAAUGGACGAGAGUCUGAACCAGCCAAGUAGCGUGAAGGAUGACUGCCCUAUGGGUUGUAAACUUCUUUUAUAAAGGAAUAAAACGAGGCACGUGUGCCUUUUUGCAUGUACUUUAUGAAUAAGGAUCGGCUAACUCCGUGCCAGCAGCCGCGGUAAUACGGAGGAUCCGAGCGUUAUCCGGAUUUAUUGGGUUUAAAGGGAGCGUAGAUGGGUUGUUAAGUCAGUUGUGAAAGUUUGCGGCUCAACCGUAAAAUUGCAAUUGAUACUGGCAGUCUGGAGUACAGUUGAGGUAGGCGGAAUUCGUGGUGUAGCGGUGAAAAGCUUAGAUAUCACGAAGAACCCCGAUUGCGAAGGCAGCUUACUAAACUGUGACUGACAUUGAUGCUCGAAAGUGUGGGUAUCAAACAGGAUUAGAUACCCUUGUAGUC
rnacentral:rRNA from 1 species